UUGGUUAAGUUAGAAAGGGCGCACGGUGGAUGCCUUGGCACUAGGAGCCGAAGAAGGACGGGACUAACACCGAUAUGCUUUGGGGAGCUGUACGUAAGCGUUGAUCCAGAGAUUUCCGAAUGGGGGAACCCACUAUCUUUAGUCGGAUAGUAUCCUUACGUGAAUACAUAGCGUGAGGAAGGCAGACCCAGGGAACUGAAACAUCUAAGUACCUGGAGGAAGAGAAAGAAAAAUCGAUUUCCUGAGUAGCGGCGAGCGAAACGGAAAGAGCCCAAACCAAGAAGCUUGCUUCUUGGGGUUGUAGGACACUCUAUACGGAGUUACAAAAGAAAGUUAUAAAUGAAGCGGUCUGGAAAGGCCCGCCAAAGACGGUAACAGCCCGGUAGUUGAAAUGGCUUUCCCUCCAGAGUGGAUCCUGAGUACGGCGGAACACGUGAAAUUCCGUCGGAAUCCGGGAGGACCAUCUCCCAAGGCUAAAUACUCCCUAGUGACCGAUAGUGAACCAGUACCGUGAGGGAAAGGUGAAAAGCACCCCGGAAGGGGAGUGAAACAGUUCCUGAAACCGUGUGCCUACAAGUAGUUAGAGCCCGUUAAUGGGUGAUAGCGUGCCUUUUGUAGAAUGAACCGGCGAGUUACGAUUUGUUGCAAGGUUAAGCGGAAAAAGCGGAGCCGUAGCGAAAGCGAGUCUGAAUAGGGCGCAUAAGUAACAGGUCGUAGACCCGAAACCAGGUGAUCUACCCAUGUCCAGGAUGAAGGUAAGGUAAUACUUACUGGAGGUCCGAACCCACGCACGUUGAAAAGUGCGGGGAUGAGGUGUGGGUAGCGGAGAAAUUCCAAUCGAACUUGGAGAUAGCUGGUUCUCUCCGAAAUAGCUUUAGGGCUAGCCUCGAGGUAAAGAGUCAUGGAGGUAGAGCACUGUUUGGACUAGGGGCCCUUCUCGGGUUACCGAAUUCAGAUAAACUCCGAAUGCCAUGUACUUAUACUCGGGAGUCAGACUGCGAGUGAUAAGAUCCGUAGUCGAAAGGGAAACAGCCCAGACCACCAGUUAAGGUCCCCAAAUAUAUGUUAAGUGGAAAAGGAUGUGGGGUUGCUUAGACAACCAGGAUGUUGGCUUAGAAGCAGCCACCAUUGAAAGAGUGCGUAAUAGCUCACUGGUCGAGUGACCCCGCGCCGAAAAUGUACCGGGGCUAAACAUAUUACCGAAACUGUGGAUGAACCUCUUUAGAGGUUCGUGGUAGGAGAGCGUUCU
rnacentral:rRNA from 1 species